rnacentral:rRNA from 1 species
AGAGUUUGAUCCUGGCUCAGAACGAACACUGGCGGCGUGGAUUAGGCAUGCAAGUCGAACGAGAAAGUUUCCUUCGGGAAAUGAGUACAGUGGCGAACGGGUGAGUAACGCGUGGGAAACCUGCCCUACAAUGGGGGAUAACAGUUCUAACGAGCUGCUAAUACCGCAUACGACCUUCGGAUCGCAUGGUCUGAAGGUGAAAGGUGGCCUCUCUUUGAAGCUGCCGUUGAAGGAUGGUCCCGCGUCCCAUUAGCUAGUUGGUAGGGUAAUGGCCUACCAAGGCGACGAUGGGUAGCCGGCCUGAGAGGGUGUCCGGCCACACUGGGACUGAGAUACGGCCCAGACUCCUACGGGAGGCAGCAGUCGAGAAGCUUCCGCAAUGGGCGAAAGCCUGACGGAGCGACGCCGCGUGAGUGAAGAAGGCCCUAUGGGUUGUAAAACUCUGUCAGAUUGGGAAGAAAAUUCUGCGGUUAAUACCCGUGGAACUUGACGGUACCAUCAGAGGAAGCACCGGCUAACUCCGUGCCAGCAGCCGCGGUAAUACGGAGGGUGCAAGCGUUGUUCGGAUUCACUGGGUAUAAAGGGUGCGCAGGCGGCCCGAUAAGUCAGAGGUGAAAUAUGACGGCUCAACCGUCAAACUGCCUCUGAAACUGUCAGGCUUGAGUUCGAGAGAGGUAGGUGGAAUUCCAGGUGUAGCGGUGAAAUGCGUAAAUAUCUGGAGGAACACCGGUGGCGAAGGCGGCCUACUGGCUCGAUACUGACGCUCAGGCACGAAAGCAUGGGGAGCGAACGGGAUUAGAUACCCCGGUAGUCCAUGCCGUAAACGAUGGGUACUAGGUGUUGGGGGAGUCUACCCCCUCAGUGCCGCAGCUAAUGCAUUAAGUACCCCACCUGGGGAGUACGAUCGCAAGGUUGAAACUCAAAGGAAUUGACGGGGGCCCGCACAAGCGGUGGAGCAUGUGGUUUAAUUCGAUGCAACGCGAAGAACCUUACCUGGGCUUGACAUGCAGGGGACAGGUGUAGAAAUACAUCCUUCUUCGGACUCCUGUACAGGUGCUGCAUGGCUGUCGUCAGCUCGUGUCGUGAAAUGUUGGGUUAAGUCCCGCAACGAGCGCAACCCUUGUCUUUAGUUGCCAUCAGGUAAUGCUGGGGACUCUAGAGAGACUGCCGGUGAUAAACCGGAGGAAGGUGGGGAUGACGUCAAGUCAGCAUGGCCCUUACGCCUAGGGCUACACACGUGCUACAAUGGCCGGUACAAUGGGCAGCAAUACAGCGAUGUGGAGCGAAUCCCAAAAAGCCGGCCUCAGUUCGGAUCGUAGUCUGCAACUCGACUACGUGAAGUUGGAAUCGCUAGUAAUCGCGUAUCAGAACGACGCGGUGAAUACGUUCCCGGGCCUUGUACACACCGCCCGUCAAGUCAACCGAGUUGGUUGCACCCCAAGUCGCUGAGCUAACCCGAAAGGGAGGCAGGUGCCCAAGGUGUGAUUAGCGAGGGGGACUAAGUCGAAACAAGGUA